AACGAACGCUGGCGGCAUGCCUAACACAUGCAAGUCGAGCGAGACCUUCGGGUCUAGUGGCGCACGGGUGCGUAACGCGUGGGAACCUGCCCUUAGGUUCGGAAUAACUCCCCGAAAGGGGUGCUAAUACCGGAUAAUGUCUUCGGACCAAAGAUUUAUCGCCUUUGGAUGGGCCCGCGUUGGAUUAGCUAGUUGGUAGGGUAAAAGCCUACCAAGGCGACGAUCCAUAGCUGGUCUGAUAGGAUGAUCAGCCACAAUGGGACUGAGACACGGCCCAGACUCCUACGGGAGGCAGCAGUGGGGAAUAUUGGACAAUGGGCGAAAGCCUGAUCCAGCAAUGCCGCGUGAGUGAUGAAGGCCUUAGGGUUGUAAAGCUCUUUUACCCGGGAUGAUAAUGACAGUACCGGGAGAAUAAGCUCCGGCUAACUCCGUG
rnacentral:rRNA from 1 species